CACGUAGGGAGCAAGCGUUGUCCGGAUUUAUUGGGCGUAAAGAGCUCGUAGGCGGUUCAGUAAGUCAGGUGUGAAACCUCCAGGCUCAACCUGGAGACGCCACCUGAUACUGCUGUGACUUGAGUCCGGUAGGGGAGCGUGGAAUUCCUGGUGUAGCGGUGAAAUUCGCAGAUAUCAGGAAGAACACCUAUGGCGAAGGCAGCACUCUGGGACGGUACUGACGGCUGAGACGCGAAAGCGUGGGGAGCGAACAGG
rnacentral:rRNA from 1 species